GCAUCAAGCUCGGAGCGGGGUGCCCGUAAAUGCUAGUCGCUCGGCGGAAACGGUGCUUGCUCUGUGGGAUCAGUGGCGAACGGGUGAGUAACACGUGAGCAACCUGCCCCUGACUCUGGGAUAAGCGCUGGAAACGGCGUCUAAUACUGGAUAUGUGACGUGACCGCAUGGUCUGCGUUUGGAAAGAUUUUUCGGUUGGGGAUGGGCUCGCGGCCUAUCAGCUUGUUGGUGAGGUAAUGGCUCACCAAGGCGUCGACGGGUAGCCGGCCUGAGAGGGUGACCGGCCACACUGGGACUGAGACACGGCCCAAACUCCUACGGGAGGCAGCAGUGGGGAAUAUUGCACAAUGGGCGGAAGCCUGAUGCAGCAACGCCGCGUGAGGGAUGACGGCCUUCGGGUUGUAAACCUCUUUUAGCAGGGAAGAAGCGAAAGUGACGGUACCUGCAGAGAAAGCGCCGGCUAACUACGUGCCAGCAGCCCGCGGUAAUACGUAGGGCGCAAGCGUUAUCCGGAAUUAUUGGGCGUAAAGAGCUCGUAGGCGGUUUGUCGCGUCUGCUGUGAAAUCCCGAGGCUCAACCUCGGGCCUGCAGUGGGUACGGGCAGACUAUAGUGCGGUAGGGGAGAUUGGAAUUCCUGGUGUAGCGGAGGAAUGCGCAAAUAUCAGGAGGAACACCGAUGGCGAAGGCAGAUCUCUGGGCCGUAACUGACCCUGAGGAGCUAAAAGGGUGGGGAGCAACAGGCUUAGAUACCCUGGUAGUCCACCCCGUAACGUUGGAACUAGUUGUGGGGUCCAUUCCUCGAUUCCGUGACUCACUACGCAUUAGUUCCCCCCUGGGGGUACGCCGCAAGCUAAACUCAAAGAUGACGGGACCCGCCAGGGCGGACAUGCGAUUAUUCAUGCACCCAAAACCUUCCAAGCUUGACUAUACC
rnacentral:rRNA from 1 species